UGGGGAAUCUUGGACAAUGGGGGCAACCCUGAUCCAGCCAUGCCGCGUGAGUGAUGAAGGCCUUAGGGUCGUAAAGCUCUUUCGCCUGUGAAGAUAAUGACGGUAGCAGGUAAAGAAACCCCGGCUAACUCCGUGCCAGCAGCCGCGGUAAUACGGAGGGGGUUAGCGUUGUUCGGAAUUACUGGGCGUAAAGCGCACGUAGGCGGACCAGAAAGUUGGGGGUGAAAUCCCGGGGGCUCAACCCCGGAACUGCCUCCAAAACUAUUGGUCUAGAGUUCGAGAGAGGUGAGUGGAAUUCCAAGUGUAGAGGUGAAAUUCGUAGAUAUUUGGAGGAACACCAGUGGCGAAGGCGGCUCACUGGCUCGAUACUGACGCUGAGGUGCGAAAGUGUGGGGAGCAAACAGGAUUAGAUACCCUGGUAGUCCACACCGUAAAACGAUGAAUGCCAGUCGUCGGGUAGCAUGCUAUUCGGUGACACACCUAACGGAUUAAGCAUUCCGCCUGGGGAGUACGGUCG
rnacentral:rRNA from 1 species